rnacentral:rRNA from 1 species
UACGUAGGGCGCAAGCGUUAUCCGGAGUGAUUGGGCGUAAAGCGUCCGCAGGUGGCUGUGUAAGUCUGCUGUCAAAGAGCGAAGCUCAACUUCGUAAAGGCCGUGGAAACUACACGGCUAGAGUGCGUUCGGGGCAGAGGGAAUUCCUGGUGUAGCGGUGAAAUGCGUAGAGAUCAGGAAGAACACCGGUGGCGAAGGCGCUCUGCUAGGCCGCAACUGACACUGAGGGACGAAAGCUAGGGGAGCGAAUGGG